GGGGCCGAAUAUGGUUUCGACGGGAUUAGUUGAGUAUGGACUGCAAGUCGAGGCAUACGUAAAUGCAUCAGUUAAAAUAACUGGAAACAAAAUUAAAAAUGCAUUUGCUACACUUUUCUCUCGUAGAUCAGCUGUAGCUUUUGCCUAGUAUAACCUAGAGCAAGUGCGCUUCUUUUAAUUCUUUUCCUGCGGGAAUUCUAAGAGGCUAAUUUAGUAGGAUAUAUUUGUGUGAUGUCUAUAAGCAUAAAUGAAUUUUAUAGGCUUGCUAUUUGAUAACUUGUUAAUUAGUUUUUCAAAUAGUGAAAUUUCUUAAUUAACUAAACUUGUAGGCGUCUAUAUGUGACUUUUUUCGGACGGGAGUUCGACUCUCCCCGGCUCCACCA
rnacentral:tmRNA from 1 species